rnacentral:rRNA from 1 species
GACGAACGCUGGCGGCGUGCUUAACACAUGCAAGUCGAACGGAAAGGCCCUGCUUGCAGGGUACUCGAGUGGCGAACGGGUGAGUAACACGUGGGUGAUCUGCCCUGCACUUCGGGAUAAGCCUGGGAAACUGGGUCUAAUACCGGAUAGGAGCCAUUUUUAGUGUUAUGGUUGGAAAGUUUUUUCGGUGUAGGAUGAGCUCGCGGCCUAUCAGCUUGUUGGUGGGGUAAUGGCCUACCAAGGCGGCGACGGGUAGCCGGCCUGAGAGGGUGGACGGCCACAUUGGGACUGAGAUACGGCCCAGACUCCUACGGGAGGCAGCAGUGGGGAAUAUUGCACAAUGGGCGCAAGCCUGAUGCAGCGACGCCGCGUGGGGGAUGACGGCCUUCGGGUUGGAAACUCCUUUCGCUAGGGACGAAGCUUUUUGUGACGGUACCUAGAUAAGAAGCACCGGCUAACUACGUG